rnacentral:rRNA from 1 species
GUGCCAGCAGCCGCGGUAAUACGUAGGGGGCGAGCGUUGCUCGGAAUUACUGGGCGUAAAGGGUGUGCAGGCGGCCGAUUAAGUCAACGAUGAAAUCCCGAAGCUCAACUUCGGAAUGGUCUUUGAUACUGAUCGGCUUGAGGCUGGUUGAGGAGAGCGGAAUUCCCGGUGGAGCGGUGAAAUGCGUAGAUAUCGGGAGGAACACCAGAGGCGAAGGCGGUUCUCUAAACUUGUCCUGACGCUGAGACACGAAAGCUAGGGGAGCAAACGGGAUUAGAUACCCCGGUAGUCCUAGCUGUAAACGAUGGACACUAGAUGUUCCCGCGUUUAUGCGGGAGUGUCGUAGCUUACGCGUUAAGUGUCCCGCCUGGGGAGUACGGUCGCAAGGCUGAAACUCAAAUGAAUUGACGGGG